CUGAAGCAGCACCUGUGGCCGAGAACGAGGCCGCUGCUCAUUUCUGUCAGGGCAGGAAGACUUCCUUCCUUGUGAGCUUCCGCCCAGGCCUGUGCCACGGCAGCAGCCCAGCUCGAGGGACAGGGCUGAGCCCGGGGCCUGCUGCCCUGUGCUGGCCUGGCCACAGAGAGAGUAGCAGGAGGGCUGUGGGCUGUGCGCCCCUGUGCUGCAGCUCCAGUAGCUGGCGGGGGUUCUUCUUGCUCCUCUGAACUGGAAUCAGGGUGGCCACUUCAUGUAGGUUAACUUGCACUGAUACGCUGACAGCAGGCUUCUGAGGCAUUGUCUGCACCUUAGCCGCCAGUCCUGUUUAACUGAUGCACCCUCUGGGUAUGGUGCUCUGCAGGGCCGCACACCACUGGGAUUGGUAAGGGUGUGGGGCAACAUCUGGCUUGCCUGCUUGUCUGCGUGUGCGGGUUUGUUGGCGUCAAACAAGGGAUCUUACUCAUUGUUUGCAGGCCUGAAAUCAGCCCAGUGAGAGCAUGGAUGUGGUCACGCGUUGGGGAGUGGUACUGCAUAAGGCAGUGUUUAAUUAGGAAGGAACGUAUUAGCAUAUAGUGAGUGCUUUGCUUCGGGACUGUAAGAGCUGAGAAAUGGUGCUGCUCUAGGCAGAGCCUUCCAGAGGCAAGGGGACACGAGACAACACUGCUAAGUACACAGAGAGGAACUGGGAGCCCACCCGUGUUGCUGGGCUGUGACUGAGUCCAAAAGUCUGCAAGCCCUGGUUAAUGCUAAAAGUCAAAUAAAGCUUGCUGUCCCUCCUCACUGUGUGUAGGCUUAGGAGGAACUGCCAGGAAGCAAUAUCCUUGCAUGGGUUGCUGGUCACACUAAGAGUCUCAGCACUGUUAUCUCCCCGGCAUGGGGCACUUCCUACUCGCUCACAGCGAGUGUCUGAUAUCAGAGCUGGGCUGCCAGCACAAGGGCUUGUGAAAUCUGCUGCAGUCAGCCUCUCUUGGAUGGACUUGUUCCUUGCUGUUUGUUUAGGCUUGGUGUACAAUUUGCUGGAUGAGCCAUGGAAAACAGCAGAGUGUGAGAAACUGCCUGCCUUUGCCAAGGAAAGCUGUUCUUCGCUGUCUCCGUCCCCUGAGUACUUAAGAAAGUAAUCCGGUAACAUAAAGUUGAAGAAAUACUGAGAGAGGCACAGAGCAAACGCUUGGCAUGCUGCUGUUUCCUCUCAGUGAUCCCAGCUCCUUUGUCCUGACUGCUGCUACAGGGGUGCGGUGAUUACUGUGAGGAAGUAUCAGUUUAUUAUGCCAGGCGUAUCUCUUUUCAGUUAUAGGUAUAUAGAUGUCUGCUGGAGGUUGUUUUGAGAACAACUCCGAUCCAGUUGGUAACAAAGCAAAGCCAGCUGUUUGCUUUAGCCAGCCUGAAUUACGUGAAGCUGCAAAAUCCAAAGAUGGCAGCUAUUUUUGUGCUGGCAGCACAUGGGAGUCUGACUCAAGUCUGUAGGUGAAUUCAUCUGAAUAGCUAAUCAUUUCCUGCCCUCCCCCUCGUGUGUUCCUGCCAUGUAGCAGAGAAAGCCAAGCAGACAGGUUACCUAACCCACAACUGCUGCGUCCUCAGGCUGACAUUCUUCUGAAAGGUGAAGCAGCACAGGAAGAUGAUCAGACCAGGUGGAAUGUACAGCACCUGGCCCUCCUUCCUUGACAGCAGAAGGAGGGGAUGGACAGCCCAGCUAAACCUUUCUGUGUGGCAAGUCAGAGCUCUCGGUAACUUCAGCUGAGGAGGGGGUCCCUGUGUGCCUCGGGCUGCGCAUGCACGUUGGAAGCAGAUUUUGGCUUUGUGGCUAGACACAACUGCAGCCAGCCUGAUCUGGAGCUGGCAGCAGGCCUGCCCUAAGAGACAUCUGUCCAGACCUCCAGAGGUCCUCACAGCCAGCAAAAACGGUGCCAGCUUUUGCGGUGUGUUACAUGAGAAAAGGGAAGGUUUGGAAUUCAUUGUGUGACUUGAGAAACAGAUGCAAAGAGAGCUAAGCAAUCUUUCUGCAGCUAGGCUGUGCAAAUGAUUCCCAGUGAAGCUGGGAGUUAAAGUCAGACCUCGUCAGAAUGGCUCAUUUAAGUCAGAGCUGAGCACAUGAUUUGGAAUCAAAAUCGUUAGGGGGAGAACUUUAGCUCUUCUCCCAGCUGAAAGUUUAAUAUAAUAAUGCCUAGCUCUCUUCUGAUUCAAAAGCAGCCGGUUUUCUUCAGCAAGUCAGGAUUCGCUCAUGGUUAAUCUGUAAGCCACGGCUUUGACAAAUGCGGGGUAACUUGGAAGCCGUGUAAGCUGGGGGGUUGGAUGGUGUCACCAUGCUGUUAUACCCCUGUGCAGAUCCUGCUGCAUCCCUCCUGCUCUCCUCCCAGAGCUGUUUGAAGUCCAAGCCUUAUGCUGGCCACUGGUCUGUGAUGACUGGGGAGUAGGGCAAGGAGCCUGCAGUGGUGCAGUGACCCACAUCUGUUUGCAUCUGAGGACCUGGCUUUCCAAGCAGCCAUAUGCCUGGCUUGUGAGCACCUGCCUUGCAAGCCGCAGGGCUUUGCUUCCCAUGGUCACUAGCAUCAGAAGGCCACAUAAACUUACGGUGACAAUAAUGUCCUUUUUCUGCUUUCCAGGUUGUCUUCUAGUGGGGUGUUUGCCUUUCUGAGCUUCCAGGCCACAAGGCUGGAAACAAGUCCUUCCACCAAAGCUUUCCUACCAGUCUGAAAAUAAGAUGCACCUCUGCAAGGCCAGCAUCGUGAGGGGAACUGUGCAGGAGAGAUAGGCUGUGUCAUUUCUGUCUCUCUGCUCUUGAGAACAUUUUUAGUAAGUCCUGAAAAAGAAACUCCUGACUGCUGCAUCUUUCAGGGAGAGACAUGUGGCUUGAAAUUGGCAAGCAGCUUUAAGGACUCCUUACAUUUGUACAAGAACAAGCUCAUUGCUGGGACUUCAGUCACCUGGGAAUAUGUCAGGAGCACCAACGUGAGCGAUGACUUACACCACGCCUCACCAUCCUCUCUGGCAGCAGUGUGAGAAUGGAGCGGAGCUGAGCCAGGAUUCCCAGAAGGAAGAGCCCUGUGCAGGGGCAGGGUGGUGAGGUCAUUUGAGAAACAGGUCAGAGGCAGCCAAGACCAAAUCAAUCUGCUGUUAACCACCCACUCCACAGAUGCUGAGGCUGUACAGCUGGGUGACCCUAUGAGCUGGGCUGAUGUAGCCAGGAUGAGCCACUUCUCUUUCUUGGCCACAUCCUCCUAGAGUGAAACGUUCUCUCAUCUGAGAUCAGCUGUUGCCUUCCACUUGUCUCCCUGGGGAGGACCACCAGGCUAAACCAAGGUCCUCUGAGGUCCUCUGUCCAGGUAGGUUUGCACUUGUUGGAUGUGCCAUGCCUCUCGGGGAAGCAACACAAGUGAUACGCUGCCUAUGUGCACACUACAUUUAUUCACCACUAUGCUUCAGUAGGAGGCAUGACUCAGCUGGGCAGAUCACUGUCCUGAAUACUGAGGAUGGGGCUUUCCACACAGCAAGCCCUUCAUAUGCUCUGUGAGACGUAGGCAAUCGCUGGGGGCACACUGUCAGCAAACUGUAGAAACACAUAAAUCAGAAGGGAGCUCUCAAGCCCCGGUGCAUCCCCUGCUCAACACAUCGAACUCCCAAGUCAGACCUGGUUGCUCUGGGUCUCAUCUGAUUAGGUUUGUGAGGCCAACAGGGAGCCUGGCAGUGGGAAUGGGGCUUCCUCACCACCUCACACAGACAGAGCAUGGCUCUGCUGUGGGACAAGCACCGUCUCCCACCAAGGAGUUCAGUUCAAAGCUGAUAUUUCCAGGACUGGCAGAGCACAGUUUGCAGAAGUGAGCAUGUGGCAGCGUGAUGUCAGCAGUGAUGGCUGCAGUUUCCAUAGCAACCUGCGGGCAUGAGUCAGCAUGGCUGUGAUGUCUGGGGGUGUGCAGACCCCCACCCAGCAGCUCAGCUCUGGGCAUGGCACACGGAGGGGCAGCACUGAGUGUCCGAGAGCAGACAGCAGAGGGAAUUAAAUCAGCUAAACACGGGGAUCCCUUUUUGCAGAAUGGAGGCUGCCUGGGUAAGGCUCGCCCCAGGGCUGAGCUCCUCUUAGAAUCCUCCUUGCAUUUCUGCACCGUCUGCUGACGUUUUUGCCACAUAAUGGCUGGGGCUGUGCAAUGCACUGUGGCCAGGUCCAUAGGGCAGGGAACCCUCCUGGACGUGCCACAGCCGUGUUAGCUCAGUCUGCCUCUCUGCGUUCAAAGCAGUCUGCAGUCCUAAGGACAAGAUAUGUGUGCAACAGAAUGUGUUCCCUUCUGAGACGGAGCAGAUUCACGCAUUUUGGUCUGCACCUAAAGGCUGUCUGAACUGCACCAAAUCCCUCUUGUCCUUGCCCUCACCUUGUCAGCCGUUCUAGGUGACAAGUGACACUACUGGCCACCGGGAAAUCCCCGAGUGCUUCUGUAAGUGCUGUGUAAAUACAGAGUGCUGGGAGCAAGCUGUGCUUGAGGCGUGAACCUCUUCUGAGGUCUGACUCUUCCUCCAGAUGUAUGGCUGGAGCAGCCCUAAGGACUGCACACCCACCCUGGGUUGUCCCUCGCAGCACUGCACCCUUCUCAUCUCCCGUCCAGCAGUAAUUUCACAAACCUCUCAGUUUGCAGAGAAGUGAGGCUGACGUGGAGGUGGCCCAAGAGCAGCCCCAGCUCCGGUUCCUCUGCCAUAGGAUGUUCCUGUGUUGCUCCCCAGCUGCCGCAACCACGAGUGCAGGGAGAGUGCAACCUCUGCCACUGUCCCACACCCGGCAUCCUUCCAGAUUUCAGGCCUGAAACUGCUCAGAAGAGGAAUUUCCAAAACAAAUGUUGCUAUUUGAAGAAUGCGGGGGCCGGGGCGUGGGGAAGAAAUAAUCACAACAGAGAUAAGGACCUGACAGCUGCACAGGCUCUGGCUCGGGCUGGUCUGGGACAAGGAUCGCCCCAAGCCAGAGCUGAGGGACAGGCUGGGGAAGCGGCAGCACAGAGGGGCUGCUCCGCUGUCCCCCUUUGCCCCAGGCUGCUCAGGGUCCCUCUGCCUGGGACUUGUUCUGCUCGGCCUCCCUCCAACCACGUGGCACUGCUGUGAUGUCUGUUCCUGUGGAAAACACCCGAGGCCUGGGGUCUGCACCCCUCCUCCCAGCCCGAGGGAAGGAGCGGAGCAGCUCAGGGCCGGGAGUUCAGGAAGAACUGGUUUGCAAAAACCAGAUGUCUGCACCCGGUUUGGCUGCUCUUUCCCUUGGUUUAUGGCAGCUGGGUGUGCGCAGAAGCAAGAUCCCUCUGUCUGCAGCGUGUUCCCCUCUUGAUGGCAUCUGGGGUUGCCUUAUCCCCAUCAGCUGCAGCACAAAGGGCUCUUGGUGCUGCCCACAGAUGCACUUCAGUCUCUGCUCUCUAGGGCUGAGCUCACAUCUGGUGUUAUUGGCCCCCGGCUGCACUUCUGUCAUUUAUUUAUUAAAGUUAAUUUCAUCAGGCUGCAGUGAUUUAUUCAGGUCUGGAGCCUCCUGUAACAGGGAGCCAUUAUUUGCUGUGCCACCGCGUCUCUGCCAUCUGCAACCUCCAUGCAUGUUCCAUAACAGCUGCUUUCCAAAAAGGUCAGCGAACUACUCUGUCAGCCCAGUUCCUGGUUUCUUGGUCUUACCAAGCCAUCAGGUGAUAUUAAAUCAAAAAUAUGCGGAGGGAAGCCGAUUAUGUAACAGGAACACCGUUCCCUUUAUUUGAUUAAGGCAGUAAUCCCAUCUUGUUUUUCUCUGAAAGGAAGGAAAACAAGUCUGACAAUACCGUGCCUCACCUCUGAUUGGAGCAGCAUUUCAGCCUCCUUGCUGACCUCGAUGCUGGUCCGGUGCUUGGAUUAGUGGACAGCUGUUCCCUGGAUUGCAUUUCCUUUACCUUGGUGCUGGAAGCACACUGCCAGCUUCCCUUCUCUAAGGAACUGCAAGAGAGCCCCAGUGGAUUGCAGAGUCCCCGCUGCCCUCCGGACUGCCCCCCAAAACAGGGGCUGCUUCAUCAGAGGCUUUGGCAGCUGCGUGCUUGGUGUUCUGCAGUAUUUAUACAUGGAGAGGGACCUUGCUGAAAGCUGGAGGAGAUCUAGGGUGGGAAGGGACCUUAAAGCCCACCCAGUUCCAACCCUCUGCCCCGGGCUGGUUGUCCUCCCCAGACCAGGCUGCUCAGGGCCCCAUCCAACACAGCCUCAAGAACCUACAGGGAUGGGGCAACCCCAUUUCCCCAGGCAGUCUGCGCUGGUGCCUCACCAUCCUCUGAGUUUAGAAUUCCUUAACGUCUAACCUAAAUUUCCUUUUCAGUUUGAAACUGUUCCCCUUUGUCCUACCACUGUCCAUCCAUGUAAAUAUUCUCCCUCCUCUUGAUAAGCUUCCUUUAAGCACUGGGAGCCACGCCAUAUCCCCUUGGACCUCACAGCAGCUUCUUCAGCCCUGCAUCACUCCUGAGCCCACCCAGACAGAGAGAGCACCCAGAGGAGCCCCUUUCAUCAGAGUAAUGCUGCCAAACAUCGUAACUGAAAAUACUUUAUUUGACACCAGCAGUAAAAUAGGAACAUUGGACUAUACAUCCAUAGGCAUAUAAAUGAUAAAAAUGCAAAAGCAAAACCAUCUGCGGGAGAACCAUGAACAGUCUGGUACACAAGUAACAUCCAGGGGAAAAAGCUGCAUGCCGGGACCCUCCCCCAUCCCUGCAAGCCAACAGCAACACCAAGGAAACUGAGCACUGGUGCUUCCUCUGCAGCUAUUCCUUGCAGGUGUCCACCGCUAUGCACAGCACUGCUUUGAGUGUUGCUGCAGGAGGGGAAGAGCCACCCGGUACAGGUGAGAGCUGAGUUCUGUGUAAACAUGAGCGUUUGUGGAAAAGGCCCCCAAGGGCAGUUUCUGGGCCAGGCUGAAAGCAUUUCACCAAAAGGAGCACAGCUUAUGCAGCGGCAAGAGUUGGAUACCACAGGUUGGCCCCGCAUGGUGAAACAAAUGAGAAGCAGCCCCAGCUCUGACACAGCAUUUGUGUUGGAGAAGAAGCAAGGCGGCAGCUUCCUGCUCCACCAGCGUCUGCAUGCUGAAAACCAUUUUCAGGUUUCCCAGUUUUCCAGUUCCCAUCUGCCCACUCUUUCAAGGCACGCCUGUGGACAGCUUCAAUUGCAACACCAGAAGCAAGCGCUCAGACCACCUGCACGAUAUUCCGUGAUUCCAGCGUGCAGCAAAAACAACAACUCAUGACACUGUUUUUAAUCUCCAGCUAACCAGAGAAAAAACAAACAAGCAAAAAAAAAAAAAAACCAACAGAACACUCAGAUGCAAAAGGUGGACGCUUUGCAUAGCCAGUGUGCAGGCACGUGCCUCCACAGUCACAGGUUCCAGCUUUCUGGAGCACAGAGGCUCAGGGCCAAACCAAGGUGCUCUGUCAGAGACCCUGGAUUGCCAGUAGGUGCUCAGUAGGGUUUGGUGCUGAGCUGCCCUGUGGAAGCAGGGCCCAGAAAAUGUAAAAACCUCGGAAAAUGUAAAAACAAAGCCACUACCCUUCCCUGUAUCUCAGUUACUGGUGCAGUCUGCAGCUAUGCCAGGGUUCUGCAGAUGGGUAUCAGGCCUGGCUUCUGCAACACAUUCUACUCCUGCAUCCUCUUGCAUCUACACGCACCAGAGCCUGACCUGCCAAGAGGUCAUUCCUUUAAUGUGCUCUGCAAGCCCGCUCUCAUGCCAUGCCAAGCGCAGCCGGUGCAGCAGGUCUGGCCAGCAACUGUGUGUCAGCGCAUGGGGUGAGCACGUUUCCAAAGUGUCAGUGGAAGGGCAGCUGGGUACCUCGCUGUGAGCAUAGUCUGUGCAUCCUUGGAGCCACCGCUGGCUAGGAAGACACAUCAAGACAAUAGAGCAAGGCACUGUCCCCCGGCCCUGCAGGAUCCCACCCCUGUAGUGCAAGGGUUCAGCAAAACUGUCAGGUCCUAAAUGGUCCUAAAUCCCCAAAAAGGAAAAGAAAAAGAAAAAAAAAAAAGGAAAAAAAAAAGUCAAGGGGAAAGAAAAAAAAAAAAAAGGCAGUGCUGAAGAUGAUCCCCAAUACACGUGUCCCUGAUUUCAACAGCCUUCAGCACAGGCCAAGGAAGUGCAAAUUGCUGUGAUCAGAGCUGGCGGGCAGAAACUCACCAGGAGGAAUUAGGUUUUCCGCUUUGGCAGAGAGAGCUUUACACCACUUGAAGCAGCUCCAAGGCACCGGUGCCCGAAGCUUUCCCUGGGCCGUGGAUGGGAGCAGCGGUGCCCAGCAGAAGGCAGUGCCCUGCAGCACUGCUCCAUGCCUCCCCAGAGCGCUGUGUGGAAUCCUGGCACAGCAAACCUCUCAGCAGAGGCUUCCGAGCAAACGCACCUCCGGGUCCUGCCAGCACCUCAGCAGCCCGUGGGCAAACGCCAGGGCAAAUUCUUGUAUGUUAUGACACAGAGAGCCUACCAGCCUGAAGAUAAAGGAGGCCUUGAAGCGUACGCCAUUAUGCUGCACCCUGCUUUAAUCUGGUAUUAAAUAUACCGCUUAGGAUAUACAAAUUACUUUUAAAAGUUAUCAAAAAGUUACAACAACAAUAAAAGUAAUAAGUGAGUUCAAGUUUCACACAUGACCUUGCAAGCAGAAUGUCGUUCUUAAGAACCUUCAGACCAUGUUUAAAUAGCGUGGCAACUUCCUACCACUGGUAAAAGUGUCUGUGAAUUUUAAGGCUAUCAAUUCCUUGUGCAAUUAAACCCAUCCGCUCUUUUGGGGGAAGAGCAAACAAGCAAACCAAACUGACCAACCGACCGAAGAGAUCUCCCAGGUGUCUUGCUCUGCUCAGGCAAGAAAAGAUAAAAUAAAAUAAAAUAAAAUCACACCCGACAGGCAGGUUAUGGGGAGCCAGCAGCUGCUGCGGGUCAUGGAGAGCUCUGCUGCACAUCCCUGCGGCUCCCAGCCCACGCACAGAGCUCUCCGAGGGCACAUCCUGCCUCAGCUCGCUCGGAAGUCUCUUUUGAGACCGAAAGGAAUAGUGAGGUGUGCUGAAUCCACACUUGGUUAUUCGUCAUGCGCUCUGCACGCGGAGAAGAUUGUUUGCUUUGGUCACCAGUAGGAAGAAAAAAAAGAAGAAGAAACCCCACGUAAUUUUGCCUCUGUUAAAAAAAAAAAACAAAAACAAAAAACAAUCUAACGAAAUGAGUAAACUCGUACAAUUUUAGCAGCGUUUUACAGUCCUUCAUAGAGAUAAAAACGAGGAAUGAAUUAAAAGGAAUGUUUUCGUCCACCCAAUUAAAAAAGAAGAAA